rnacentral:rRNA from 1 species
GAUGAACGCUGGCGGCGUGCCUAAUACAUGCAAGUCGAGCGAACAGACGAGGAGCUUGCUCCUCUGACGUUAGCGGCGGACGGGUGAGUAACACGUGGAUAACCUACCUACAAGACUGGGAUAACUUCGGGAAACCGGAGCUAAUGCCGGAUAAUAUAUUGAACCGCAUGGUUCAAUAGUGAAAGACGGUUUUGCUGUCACUUAUAGAUGGAUCCGCGCCGCAUUAGCUAGUUGGUAAGGUAACGGCUUACCAAGGCAACGAUGCGUAGCCGACCUGAGAGGGUGAUCGGCCACACUGGAACUGAGACACGGUCCAGACUCCUACGGGAGGCAGCAGUAGGGAAUCUUCCGCAAUGGGCGAAAGCUUGACGGAGCAACGCCGCGUGAGUGAUGAAGGUCUGCGGAUCGUAAAACUCUGUUAUUAGGGAAGAACAAAUGUGUAAGUAACUAUGCACGUCUUGACGGUACCUAAUCAGAAAGCCACGGCUAACUACGU